CCAGGACUAAACCAGGACUAAACCAGGACUAAACCAGGACUAAAUCAGGACUAAACCAGGACUAAACCAGGUCUAAACCAGGACUAAACCAGGUCUAAACCAGGACUAAACCAGGACUAAACCAGGACUAAACCAGGACUAGACCAGGACUAAACCAGGACUAAACCAGGUAUAAACCAGGACUAAACCAGGUCUAAACCAGGACUAAACCAGGUCUAAACCAGGACUAAACCAGGACUAAACCAGGACUAGACCAGGACUAAACCAGGACUAAACCAGGUCUAAACCAGGACUAAACCAGGAC
ensembl:lncRNA